rnacentral:rRNA from 1 species
CGGACGGGUGAGUAACGCGUGGGCAACCUGCCCUAUACAGGGGGAUAACAACCAGAAAUGGUUGCUAAUACCGCAUAAGCGCACAGGACCGCAUGGUCCGGUGUGAAAAACUCCGGUGGUAUAGGAUGGACCCGCGUUGGAUUAGCCAGUUGGCAGGGUAACGGCCUACCAAAGCGACGAUCCAUAGCCGGCCUGAGAGGGUGAACGGCCACAUUGGGACUGAGACACGGCCCAG